GAAUAGUGUGUUAUAUAACAGGAUAUAGAAGAGGCAGAUCAUUAUUUUCACACUCCAUCACAGCAGGUGGCGGUAUGCACCUUUAAAGUUGGUUCGUAACCCGCCAUUAAACCAAAAGAAGAAGAUGAAGAUUGUAACGUCAGCUCAUCGUAAGCAUUAGAUUAUUCACCCAGUGUUUAUUCACAAGAUUGACCGAAGCUUAUUUAGAUGACCAAAUUAUGAACAUUGUGACCCACCCUGAGGCUGUAAGAGUGUGCCUGAUGAGAGAAUGCGUACUUGAAGCAGUUAUAGGACAUAAUAUAUUCAAGAAGACCAAGCGAUCCUUAUAGGACUACAUGCAAAGCAAUGUACUCCAGACCGCACAACUGGACAUACAGAUUGUGCCCUGAUGCCAUCUGCCCCGUUCUCCCAGCCUCAUCUUCCCUCUCUAUGCCUAGCUUCACAUCGGUUGGCUCUUCUUUGGCUCUCUUCAUCCCGUCUGCCUGCCUCGCUGCUCUCCCUGAUAACAUUUCCUGACUGAUGCCUUGCACUCUGACUCUUUCUGCAAGGUGCCAUUCUCAGCAGUGACUCAAUUUAGUGCCAUUCUGCUGCUUGGCAUUGCACUUCUGAGGUCAUCACCAUCUUUCUUCAGCCAAACAAAAUGAUUCUCACCAACCACCCCAGCUCUGCUAAGCUUGAUGUUGGAGGUCUGCUGUUUUUGAAGCAGGGGACCACUGUCCAUUAAAGGCUUCAUAAACCAUUUAACAAAAUCACAUAAGAUAGUGUAGUUCAUACUCCAUGCGAUGUGCCAUACAAUGGAAGGGCCAUGUUCCUUAUCACAUCUGGAUACUGCAAAGCUCCUGUCUCCUCAACAAUUUACGAACUAAUCAAUUAUUAAAUGAAGAAAUGCUAUGUAAAAGCAAAGAUAUUUCUUCCUGUGGAAUUUGAGUCUUAAAUGUAGUAAUUACUGUUUUAUGGCAUAAAUAAAAGUUAAAUAUUAUAUUA